GCAGGGAUGGUCCAGCUGGUUAAGACCCAGGCCCUCCAAGCCUGAGACCCGGGUUCAAAUCCCGGUCCCUGCA
rnacentral:tRNA from 1 species